rnacentral:rRNA from 1 species
AGUGAACGCUGGCGGCAGGCCUAACACAUGCAAGUCGAACGGGUGGCGGACGGGUGAGUAAUGUCUGGGAAACUGCCCGAUGGAGGGGGAUAACUGGUGGCAACGGUAGCUAAUACCGAAUAACAUCGGGUGUGCCCAGUUGGGGUUAGCUGGUAGGGGGGGUAACGGCUCACCUAGGCGACGAUCCCUAGCUGGUCUGAGAGGAUGACCAGUAACACGGGAAAUGAGACACGGUCCAGACUCCUACGUGAGGCAGCAGUGGGGCAUAUUGCACAAUGGGCGCAAGGCUGAUGCACCCAUGCCGCGUGUACGAAGAAGGCCUUCGGGGUGUAAAGUACUUUCAGCGACGAGGCGGUACCCGCAGAAGAAGCACCGGCUAACUCCGUGCCAGCAGCCGCGGUAAUUC